AAUCGCCUGCUGCCCAUGCCAUCUCGUUAAGUCAGGGUGGCCUAUUUGAAAAUAAGAAGAGAAAGGGUUGCCGGAAAUGUAGCAGACAAAAGGUGUUCCUGUUUGACUCAAUCACUGGGCAUAGGACUAAUGCGGGCAAAGAGGAAGUAAAAAUUCAUUGGUUGCCCUGCUCUGCUUGCGGGAAAAUCUGGGAUGACACCUGGGAACCUGCAAGUGAAUUCACACAUGUUGCUGUCCCCCAAGAGCUUCUUCCUUCAGACAGCAAACAAGUCCUUCCAUGAUGUUGCUCUUUCUUUUUUUGUGUUACAAAGUUGUAAUUUCCAUUUUUCUAUAACUGCAGUUUGACUAUA